rnacentral:rRNA from 1 species
CAGCAGCCGCGGUAAUACGAAGGGUGCAAGCGUUAAUCGGAAUUACUGGGCGUAAAGCGCGCGUAGGUGGUUUGUUAAGUUGGAUGUGAAAUCCCCGGGCUCAACCUGGGAACUGCAUCCAAAACUGGCAAGCUAGAGUAUGGUAGAGGGUGGUGGAAUUUCCUGUGUAGCGGUGAAAUGCGUAGAUAUAGGAAGGAACACCAGUGGCGAAGGCGACCACCUGGACUGAUACUGACACUGAGGUGCGAAAGCGUGGGGAGCAAACAGGAUUAGAGACCCCCGUAGUCCCUGUCUCUUAUAC